AUACAUGCAAGUCGAACGAACUCUGGUAUUGAUUGGUGCUUGCAUCAUGAUCUUACAUUUGAGUGAGUGGCGAACUGGUGAGUAACACGUGGGAAACCUGCCCAGAAGCGGGGGAUAACACCUGGAAACAGAUGCUAAUACCGCAUAACAACUUGGACCGCAUGGUCCGAGCUUGAAAGAUGGCUUCGGCUAUCACUUUUGGAUGGUCCCGCGGCGUAUUAGCUAGAUGGUGGGGUAACGGCUCACCAUGGCAAUGAUACGUAGCCGACCUGAGAGGGUAAUCGGCCACAUUGGGACUGAGACACGGCCCAAACUCCUACGGGAGGCAGCAGUAGGGAAUCUUCCACAAUGGACGAAAGUCUGAUGGAGCAACGCCGCGUGAGUGAAGAAGGGUUUCGGCUCGUAAAACUCUGUUGUUAAAGAAGAACAUAUCUGAGAGUAACUGUUCAGGUAUUGACGGUAUUUAACCAGAAAGCCACGGCUAACUACGUGCCAGCAGCCGCGGUAAUACGUAGGUGGCAAGCGUUGUCCGGAUUUAUUGGGCGUAAAGCGAGCGCAGGCGGUUUUUUAAGUCUGAUGUGAAAGCCUUCGGCUCAACCGAAGAAGUGCAUCGGAAACUGGGAAACUUGAGUGCAGAAGAGGACAGUGGAACUCCAUGUGUAGCGGUGAAAUGCGUAGAUAUAUGGAAGAACACCAGUGGCGAAGGCGGCUGUCUGGUCUGUAACUGACGCUGAGGCUCGAAAGUAUGGGUAGCAAACAGGAUUAGAUACCCUGGUAGUCCAUACCGUAAACGAUGAAUGCUAAGUGUUGGAGGGUUUCCGCCCUUCAGUGCUGCAGCUAACGCAUUAAGCAUUCCGCCUGGGGAGUACGGCCGCAAGGCUGAAACUCAAAGGAAUUGACGGGGGCCCGCACAAGCGGUGGAGCAUGUGGUUUAAUUCGAAGCUACGCGAAGAACCUUACCAGGUCUUGACAUACUAUGCAAAUCUAAGAGAUUAGACGUUCCCUUCGGGGACAUGGAUACAGGUGGUGCAUGGUUGUCGUCAGCUCGUGUCGUGAGAUGUUGGGUUAAGUCCCGCAACGAGCGCAACCCUUAUUAUCAGUUGCCAGCAUUAAGUUGGGCACUCUGGUGAGACUGCCGGUGACAAACCGGAGGAAGGUGGGGAUGACGUCAAAUCAUCAUGCCCCUUAUGACCUGGGCUACACACGUGCUACAAUGGAUGGUACAACGAGUUGCGAACUCGCGAGAGUAAGCUAAUCUCUUAAAGCCAUUCUCAGUUCGGAUUGUAGGCUGCAACUCGCCUACAUGAAGUCGGAAUCGCUAGUAAUCGCGGAUCAGCAUGCCGCGGUGAAUACGUUCCCGGGCCUUGUACACACCGCCCGUCACACCAUGAGAGUUUGUAACACCCAAAGUCGGUGGGGUAACCUUUUAGGAACCAGCCGCC
rnacentral:rRNA from 1 species